UACGGAGGGUGCGAGCGUUGUUCGGAAUCACUGGGCGUAAAGCGCGUGUAGGCGGCCCACUAAGUCUGAUGUGAAAUCCCUGGGCUCAACCCAGGAAAUGCUUCGGAUACUGGCGGACUUGAGGCUAGUAGGGGUCACUGGAACUGACGGUGGAGCGGUGAAAUGCGUAGAUAUCGUCAGGAACGCCAAUGGUGAAGACAGGUGACUGGGCUAGUUCUGACACUGAGGCACGAAAGCGUGGGGAUCAAACGGG
rnacentral:rRNA from 1 species